GAAAGUGCGACAUGGAAAUGGUGCACCUCCAGCUGCAGAUCCAAAAGUCGAAGCUGGAGAUUGUACUGCUGGAACAACAGUUAAGGGACAUACAGGGUGACCAAUAAAGGCAGUUGACCACAG